rnacentral:rRNA from 1 species
AACGCGAAGAACCUUACCCAGACUUGACAUGUAGUGGACAGUGUUAGAAAUAACAUCUUCCUUCGGGACCGCUACACAGGUGCUGCAUGGCUGUCGUCAGCUCGUGCCGUGAGGUGUUUGGUUAAGUCCAGCAACGAGCGCAACCCUUAUCAUUAGUUGCCAACACGUAAUGGUGGGAACUCUAAUGAGACUGCCUGGGUUAACCAGGAGGAAGGUGAGGAUGACGUCAAGUCCGCAUGGCCUUUAUGUUUGGGGCUACACACGUGCUACAAUGGUCGGUACAGAAGGCAGCAAAACCGUGAGGUGAAGCAAAUCCCAAAAGCCGGCCCCAGUUCAGAUUGUAGUCUGCAACUCGACUACAUGAAGACGGAAUUGCUAGUAAUGGCGGGUCAGCAACACCGCCGUGAAUACGUUCCCGGGCCUUGUA